CCGGGGCAGGAGGCGCCCACGCUUCCUGCCAGCUCCGGGGCCGCUUCCUGCCUGACUCAGCCUCGGCUGCUCCCCGUGGGCCCCGGCCCCGCUCCGUGCCCCGUGGGCAGGGCCAGGCAGCACCCAGAGCCCCCCCAGAGCCCCUUUCCCUGCCCCAGCCCCCCGCCAGAGGCGUGCAGAGAGACACGGAGAGGAAGAACCGAAGCGAGAGGAAACAGAAACACCCCCAGCCCCAACCUGCACCGCCCUGGCACCGAGGGCCCAGCCCUGCCCCUGGCCAGCGGGGUUCCUUCUCCUCCCCCCCGCUGGCCCCGGCACGCUGCUCGGUGUCCCCGCCACCACCCAAAAUCCUGGCCGGUGACUCACGGCUGCUCCUCGUCCCCACCUCGGCACCGCAGCGGGGCUGGCACCUGCCGAGCCCGCCCCAGGAGCCUGGCACCCCGAGCACAGGGGGGGAGCAGGGGGGAUCCCGCCUUCCCCCCAGGGAUGCAGGGAGGGAUGGAGGGAGGGGGCUCGGCACCAGAAAGGAGGAAGGAGAGACACGCACCCCGCAGAGAGGGAGCCCCGGAGGAGACAGGAGAGCCCCAAAGGAGAGAGCCCAGGAGCGGAGCAGCCGCGGCGCAGGAGGGGGCGGCGAGAACUCACGUCAGGGGGGGACGGCGGCCUCCAGAGUCGGCGGGGGUCCCCGGCACAGCUCAGGCCGGCUGGGGAGGAGCCGCUGCUGCGGGGAGACGGGAGGCUGGGUGAAUGCCACGGGCACCCCGCUCUCCUCUCCCACCACCAGCCCCACCGGCCCCAACCCAUCCCCGUGGGGCAAGCUGCAGCCACCCCGCAUUCCCUGCCGGGUUCAGUCAGGGGGCUGACUGCAAAAGGGAGGGGGAAGAACGGGCUGCAAAGCCCUCGCUGGGAAGUUUUUCAUCCUUCGCACAGCGAGUUUCUCACACUCGGGAUGAAAAUAGCCCCUGCCCUGCUCCCAGAGGUGCCCGGCUUGCGGGAGCACGGCCAAGGGCUGGCUCGCCACCAGCCCGUCCCGCAGCCGGGAGUCCCACAGAUCCGGCGUGGACCAGCAGGAAAAAAAAAAAAAACAACGAGGGUGGGAAACAGGGAGAAAAGGGAGCGUUUCCCAGGGGCAGCGAGCCCCCGAAAUGCCCAGCUGGGGCAGCGGCAGGGCGGGCUGGCAGCUCUCCCAGCCGGCAGAGGGCUGCGAGCACGGAUCCGUAACCGGGCCAGCCCGUUCCUGCGGUUUCCACAAACCACCGGGGCUGUGGCGGGUGACCCAGCCUUCCCACCAAGGCAGCUCAAGGCACUGUUGGUUAGGAGGAACCCCGGCCUCGUGCCGGAGCCCAGACCUCAGCUCCCUCCCGGCCCCGUUAU
rnacentral:lncRNA from 1 species